AAGGUCAAAGGUUUGAGCUCUAUAUCUCCUAAACCCCUUGAAGGAUUUUAAUGAAACUUGGGCCAAAUGAUCACCUCAUCAAAACGUUGUGCAGAAUUCACGAGUCCGCCAUGUCAGUUCAAGGUCAAGGUCACAGCUAACGGUCGAAGGUUUACCCUUUCACUGUCCAUAGCAGUGGCGGGGGAUUUAGCUGUCUUUCAGACUGCCUUGUUUGUUAACUGGUAAUUGGUCAAUUUCUUUAAUGACUAUCUUUCUUCCUAUUUCUUUAACCUGGCUGCUAUAUUGGCAGCAAGUAGCUAGCUUUUGAAUUCAGUUGUAUUUUUAGCUUGACUAUUCGAAGAAUAGUCCGAGCUAUGGCGUCAGCAUCACACCUUGGUUAAAGUUUUGCAUGCAAGUAUGUAUAGCUAUCAUUUAAAGGCAUAUAGCUUUGAAACUUAUUUUUUCUUUUUCUAGUUCAUUAACCAACCUCACAGGAUCAAGUCCCAUAACUCUGACAUGUAUUUUGGGCAAUUUAUGCCCCCUUUUGGACUUAGAAAAUCCUGAUUAAAGUUUUGCAUGCAAGUUACUAUCUCCAAAAUUAAUGCAGGUAUUGAACUAUCUUCAGGGUUAUAAAACUACUUGGUAGCAUCAAGUCCCAUAACUCUGAUAUGCAUUUUGGCCAAAUUAUGCCCACUUUUUGACUUAGAAAAUCCUGGUUUAAGUUUUGCAUGCAAGUACAUAUAGCUAUCAUUUAAAGGCAUAUACUGAUAUAGUUUUGAAACUUAUUUUUUCUUUUUCUAGGUCAUUAACCAACCUCACAGGAUCAAGUCCCAUCACUCUGAUAUGUAUUUUGGGCAGAUUAUCCCACUUUUAGACUUAAAAAGUCCUGGUUAAUUUUUAGCUCACCUGCUGUGUCAGGCGUCAAGAAUUGUGUUUAAAUGACAUCUCCUCCAAAACCACUGAAUGGAUUUUGAUGAAACUUGGCCUGGAUGUUCCUUGGGAGGUUCUCUACCAAAGUUGUCCAAAUGGUUCCGUUUGGUUGCACAUAGGGGCCACCAGAGCUAUAAAUAGAAAAAUCUUCAAACGACCUCUCCUCCUAAACCACUGGUCCGAUUUUGAAGUAAUUUCACACAAAUGGUUCUUACGUCACCCUCUACCAAGAUUUUUCAAAUUUUACUGAUUCGUCAAAAAACAUGGCCGCCAGGGGGCAUGGUCACUUUUCCCAAUAUAUAUAUAAUGGAAACUUUAAAAAUCUUCUUGUGUGAAACUGCUGCCCUGAUUUUAAAAUAAUUUAUCACAAAUGGUCCUUGUGAUACCCUCUACCAAGAUUGUUCAAAUUAUUUUGAUUCAUCAAAAAACAUGGCCGCCAGAGGGCAUGGUUACUUUUCCCUAUAUGUAUAUGUAUAUAGUGGAAACUUUAAAAAUCUUCUUGUGUGAAACUGCUUUCCUGAUUUUAAAAUAAUUAUACACAAAUGGUCCUUGUGUGACCCUCUACCAAGAUUAUUCAAAUUAUUCCGAUUCGUUAAAAAACAUGGCUGCCAGGAGGCGUGGUCACUUUUCCCUAUAUGUAUUUGGUGGAAAUUUAAAAAAUCUUCUUUUAUGAAACUGCUGCCAUGAUUUUAAAAUUAUUUUACAAAAGUUGUCAUUCUGUGACCCGCUGAUUAUUUUGAUUUGUCAGAGAGCCUGGUUACUUUUGCUUGUAUGUAUAUAGUAGAAACUUUAAAAAUUGUGUGACAUGUAUAUAAUAUAGGCUAAUAUAGAAGAAACCUCUGUAGUUGUACCAUUACAUUAUACAAAUGCACUUGAAGCCUUGUACAGGUGAGCGCUUUAGGGUCAAUGACCCUCUUGUUUGCAUGCAAGUUACUAUCUCAAAAACUAAUGCAAAAUAUUGAAUUGAAACUUCACGUUUCUUCAGGUUUAUAAAAUAGCAUGAAGUCCCAAAACUCUGACAUGUAUUUUGCAAAAUUAUGGCCUCUUUUGAACUUAAAAACUUCUGGUUUCUCCAAAAAUGCAGAUAGUAAAUUGAAACUAUGGAUAUUUUAACAUUUAUGGUACAAUUCCUGCUUCUGGGACAACAAUUUGAAUAGGUGAGCAUUGGCUGUCUUAUGGACAGCUCUUGCUUUUUCUUGGUAGGGGAUAAGAUGAUAAUGAUUUCUUUUUCUACAAACUUCUUCCAUGUUCCUUUCACAAGAUGGUGUAGAUGCUUUGUAUUUUCUUCAACUUCACUGGUUUCAGAUAACUCGAUACACUGCAAUAUCUGACUCUUCACCCUCAAAAUUUGAUUGCAAUUAACUGAUUCUUUUACACUAUAUUUUACUUUCCUCACAAUUUUAGCUUGACUAUACGAAGUAUAUGGAGAGCUAUCCUACUCACCCAGGCAUCAGCGUCUUUCCGCGUCCCCACCUUGGUUAAAGUUUUUUUACACUUUCUCUUUUUUCUCCUUAUCACUGUUAUUACUUGAUGGAUUUGCUUUAAACUUAAAAUAUUUAUUCACCAUCAUCACCCACAUCAUAUGGCACAAGGGCCUUAACUCUCACACCAAUAUUUCAUGAAUUAUCCCCUCCCUUUUUACUUAGAAUUUCAGGUUAGAGUUUUGAUGCACUUUCACUCUAUCUGUUAUUCCUAAAUAGAUUUGAUUCAAACUGAAAGUAGUUGUUCCACAUCAUAUGACACAAGGCCCAUAACUCUAGUACCAAUAUUUAAUGAAUUAUCCCCCCCUUUACUUAGAAGUUCAGGUUAAAGUUUUGAUGCACUUUCACUUUAUCUCAGUUAUUACUAAAUGGAUUCGAUUUAAACUUACUUAAAGUAGUUGUUCCACAUCAUUACUCACAUCAUAUGACACAAGGGCCAUAACUCUUGCACCAAUAUUUCAUGAAUUAUCCCCCCUUUUUACUUAGAAUUUCAUGUUAAAGUUUUGAUACACUUUCACUCUGUCUCAGUUCUUACUAAAUGGAUUUGAUUCAAACUUAAAAGUAGUGUUCUACCAUAUCACCCACAUCAUAUGACACAAGGUGCAUAACUCUUGCACCAAUUUUUAUGAAUUAUACCCCCUUUUUGCUUAGAAUUAUACUUAUGUAGUGUUUUGAUACACUUUAUCUUUACCUCUCUUAUUACUUAAUAUUUCUGACACAGACUCAAGCUAUUGUGCAAUAUCUUCAUCCACCAUUGGAGUUAUUAAUCUCCCGCCACGAGUGGUGGGGGAUUAUAGAAAUGGUCCGUCCGUCCUUCCGUGUCCACUCUGUAUCUCCUAAACCCCUUGAAGGAUUUUCAUGAAACUUGGGUCAAAUGAUAACCUUAUCAAGAUGAUGUGCAGAACCCAUGAGUCAGCCUUGUCGGCUCAAGGUCAAGGUCACAACUCAAGGUCAAAGUUUUGAGCCUUCCAUUUCGUGUCUGCCCUGCAUCUCCUAAACCCCUUGGAGGAAAAUCAUGAAACUUUCGAGACGAUGUGCAGAACCCAUAAGUCAGCCAUGUUGGCUCAAGGUCAAAGUCACAACUCGAGGUCAAAGGUUAGAGCCUUCAAUUUUGUGUCCGCUCUAUACCUCCUAAACCCCUUGAAGGAUAAUUAUGAAACUUGGGUCAAAUGAUCACCUCAUCAAGACAAUAUGCAGAACUCAUGAGUCAGCCAUGUUGGCUCAAUGUCAAGGUCACAACUCAAGGUAAAGGUUUCGAGUCUUCCAUUUUAUGUCUGCUCUGUAUCUCCUAAACCCCUUGAAGGAUUUUAAUAUGACUUGGCAGUAAUAUUCCCCUUAUCAAGACAAUGUGCAGAAUUCAAAACUCACCCCUGCCAGUUUAAGGUCAAGGUUACAACUUGGUUGUUUAAUGGUUCCACCCAGUACCAUAUAUCCUUUCACUAUCCAUAACAGUGGUGGGGGAUAUAGCUGUCUUUCAGACUGCCUUGUUAAACACUCCAGUAACAGCUCCAGUUUCCUCAGAUGUGCCGUUUCACUAUCCAGCAUCAGUAUAGUCGAGCGCGCUGUCUCCUGUGACAGCUCUUCUUAUUUCUACCUGUUGUAUAUUUAGAACUUGGUAUUAGAUGAACCAAAAAUUAACAUUCCAUUUUUCUUCUUCACUGGUUGCACAUAUUUGUAGCAUUUCAUAUCACAUUGUGUUUUUGUUGCAUUUCCUCUUAUAUAGAUUGACAGUGAGUGAUAUGGAUUAUAUCUCACUGAUAAAACACAGUUUUCAUCAGUGAGCAUAAAAUAAAUGCCUUUCUCUUCCUACAUUGAUAUAAUUUAAGCCAUCUUCUUCCUCUGUCAUACUCUAAAUACCAUACAGAAGCAGGUUGCCCUUGAAUCACAAUAAGCUUGUCUUAGAGACCAAUUAUAUAAUAUUAACAAGUCUUGCUAAAAAAAUAUGUUCUGCGUUAAAUCAGGACUUUCUUUUCUGUAUCUGUUAUAUAGAACAAAUGCAAACAAGUAAACUAACACUAUAAACAAAAUAAGACAAAAAACUAUAGAAAAAUAAAGUACAAAUAUGUGUCUUUGUUAUCUUAAUAGUAGCUAGCCAUAUGAUUAUGGCGAUAUAAAACAUAAGUGACUGAAUAUCAAAUUGAUAUCGAACUGAGUACUUACAUGUAUAUGAUUUUUACUAUAAUUAUAACUAACUUUCCCAUUCAAUCUAACUGAAAAAAAUUUAAAUUCUUUUUUAAAGAUAUAAACAUGUGCAUGACUUUGGAUUUUCUUCAUCUACUUUAAGACAUUCAAUAUAAUUGCCAGUAUCAGGUUGUUGGCCAUUUUCUGUCUGUCACUAUUCAGUUUGUAACCAUUUUCUAAUUCAAGGUUGGGAAUAUGUCGCCCACACAUCUAGAAUGUCUGUACUUAUUGUCAUAAGAUCUUUGUCAUUGUUCCUAUUGUAAUAUACUGAACAAAAUAAGUAGCAGUGUUUAAGUGCAGAUUUAAUUAUGAAAACAAGUUUAUAUGUAUUGUAAGAGAAAACAAGUUUAUAAUUAUGUAUUGCAAGAGUAUUUAAAUUUGAAUUUGUGUGGAAAAUUUUAUCGCUCUACAUUUACAGAAAACCGAUGAAAUGGUUGAUUAAAUACAUACCUGUCAAGUCUCGCGCAUUGGGCGUGAAAGUCACACAUUUCAGGUCCGAAUCACACUCUCACACACAUAUCAAAUUUUUACAUGCAAUUUCAACAAAUCAGAAAAAAAUAUUUAUUCAAUUAAGAGCUGUAUGUGAAAUGAUCAAAACUGAUCUAAAUUUUGAAGUUUUCAAAGUUGUUUUGAAGGCUACAUGAACUAUUAAAGGAAAGGUUGUCUUUGAUUGUUUGUUUUCUUAAACUUUUGCAUCCUGAAAUAAGCAUCUUUAGAGUCCAAAUGUAGUGCUAUUUUUAUGAAAAAUAGCCAAAAUCAAUCUCCGGGCAUCUACAGCUUCUGUGGACUUAGUCUCCCAGACCCCAUGACCAAGGGGCAACCGCCUCGUGGAACCCCAUCUAACUCCCUACAUACCUUAAUUAAGACCUUGACAGCUAUGUAAAUGUGGUAGGGGUUGUACACAAAAAUCACAUAUAGAUACAGGGAAUGGCUACCUUGAGCAUCGAGGACACAUGCCUGGCAUCGUUGGCACAUAGAACCGACAGGUACUUGUGUUGAUUUCAGCCUGUGGAAUGUUGUUAAUUCAUUGACGUUCGACGGUGGAAUAAGGCGACAUCUAACAGGCUGGUCCAAAUUAUCAAACAGAUGUUCGAUGGGAUUCAGAUCUGGGCAUUUGGCAGGCCAGUCAUUAAUGAUAAAUGCAAUGUUACUUGCACUGAGGAAAUUCACAAUAUCUCUAGCUGUAUGGCUUUAUCCUGUUGAAACAGUGAUAUUGAAAUUCCCAUUAAUCACGACUAGAUGUGUGCGAUAACCAUGUGCAAUGCCUGCCCAGACCAAGACGCAACCUCCACCCCCAAAAACGAUCUUGUUCAAGCACACAGCAGUCAGCAUAGUUGUGACUUCUACAGUGUUAACAGCCAAAUUUUUGACGACCCACAAUGCACGACUCUGGACACAGGGUGAUCAGAAUAGCUCAUCUAAAUAAAGUAUACAAUUUUUGUAUAGCAUUCACUGUUUCACGUUAUUUUUUCACUUACUGGCAAACAUUUUCGACCAGUUGAGCAUGCUGUCCUUCUGACAGCUUUUGUUUAAUUUGUACUCUUUUUGAGAUUUUUUGUGUAACUCGUCACGACUCUUUUUUGAUAUUUCUGUUAAACAUAUGUACUGAACUUGUAUUUUCUAUUGGCUAUAAUAAGCGUAUGCGUUAUAUAUUUUAUGUUGAAUAAAUUUUUUUGUAACUGUG